rnacentral:rRNA from 1 species
GACAGAGGGUGCAAACGUUGUUCGGAAUUACUGGGCGUAAAGGGCGCGUAGGCGGGAUGGCAAGUCGGUCGUGAAAUCCCUCGGCUCAACCGAGGAACGUCGAUCGAUACUGCUGUUCUUGAGGAUUGCAGAGGAGACUGGAAUUCCCGGUGUAGCGGUGAAAUGUGUAGAGAUCGGGAGGAACACCGGUGGCGAAGGCGGGUCUCUGGGCGAUCCUGACGCUGAGGCGCGAAAAGCGUGGGG